rnacentral:rRNA from 1 species
UACGUAGGGUCCGAGCGUUGUCCGGAAUUACUGGGCGUAAAGAGCUCGUAGGCGGUUUGUCGCGUUGUUCGUGAAAGCUCACAGCUCAACUGUGGGCGUGCGGGCGAUACGGGCAGACUAGAGUACUGCAGGGGAGACUGGAAUUCCUGGUGUAGCGGUGGAAUGCGCAGAUAUCAGGAGGAACACCGGUGGCGAAGGCGGGUCUCUGGGCAGUAACUGACGCUGAGGAGCGAAAGCGUGGGGAGCGAACAGG